UGUAUGUGCCAGUUCAUACGUUAAACGUGAGACUGCGGACGGCUCAGUAUAUCAGUGAUUAUCUGUUUGAUUGUCUCUCCCAUUGGAUAACCGUGGGAAAUCUAGAGCUAAUACAUGUAGUUAAUUGGCAUAUCGCAAGGUAUGUCAAAGCAUUUAUUAGAUUAAACCAUCUACUACUCUGUAGUAAGACGAAUCUAGAUAACUUUGCUGAUCGUAUGGCCUCGUGCCGGCGACGUUUCAAUUGAGUUUCUGCCCUAUCAACUUGUUGGUAAGGUAUUGGCUUACCAAGGUUGCAACGGGUAACGGGGAAUCAGGGUUCGAUUCCGGAGAGGGAGCCUGAGAAACGGCUACCACAUCCAAGGAAGGCAACAGGCGCGCAAAUUACCCAAUCUAGACAGUAGGAGGUGGUGAAGAGAAUUACUAAGUGGUGGUUCAAUGAACUACCAACUUGGAAUGGACGUAACUAAGCAAUUCGUUGAGAAACAACUGGAGGGCAAGUCCUGGUGCCAGCAGCCGCGGUAAUUCCAGCUCCAGUAGUUUGCUUUAAAGUUGUUGCGUUUAAAACGCUCGUAGUUGGAUCACGCAACGGUGUACGGUAAUCUAUUCACUAGUUCAGAAUGUUCGCAGUGUGAAUCGAAAGAUUAGACUAGGACUCUGUUCUGUGAUAGAUAUAAAAGCUGACCACCGUUAAUUGCACGUGAGAUGGAUUGUUGACCUUUAGUGAGUCGGUAAUCCUGUCUUGCGGAGUGUGCCUUGAAUAAAACAGAGUGCUUAAAGCAGGUUUACGCCUGAAUGUUAUAGCAUGGAACGAACAAUAGUGAUCACGUACGUGAUUUUUAAUAGCAAUAGGCCUAUGGUUUGUUGCUGUUGGAGU
rnacentral:rRNA from 1 species